GACGAACGCUGGCGGCGUGCUUAACACAUGCAAGUCGAACGGCAAGGCCCUGCUUUUGUGGGGUGCUCGAGUGGCGAACGGGUGAGUAACACGUGAGUAACCUGCCCUUGACUUUGGGAUAACUUCAGGAAACUGGGGCUACUACCGGAUAGGAGCUCCUGCUGCAUGGUGGGGGUUGGAACGUUUCGGCGGUUGGGGAUGGACUCGCGGCUUAUCAGCUUGUUGGUGGGGUAGUGGCUUACCAAGGCUUUGACGGGUAGCCGGCCUGAGAGGGUGACCGGCCACAUGGGGACUGAGAUACGGCCCAGACUCCUACGGGAGGCAGCAGUGGGGAAUAUUGCACAAUGGGCGGAAGCCUGAUGCAGCAACGCCGCGUGCGGGAUGACGGCCUUCGGGGUGUAAACCGCUUUCGCCUGUGACGAAGCGUGAGUGACGGUAAUGGGUAAAGAAGCACCGGCUAACUACGUG
rnacentral:rRNA from 1 species